rnacentral:rRNA from 1 species
UACGUAGGGGGGCAAGCGUUGUCCGGAAUCAUUGGGCGUAAAGAGCGUGUAGGCGGCUAGGUAGGUCCGUUGUGAAAACUCGAGGCUCAACCUCGAGACGUCGAUGGAAACCAUCUAGCUAGAGUCCGGAAGAGGAGAGUGGAAUUCCUGGUGUAGCGGUGAAAUGCGCAGAUAUCAGGAAGAACACCCGUGGCGAAGGCGGCUCUCUGGGACGGUACUGACGCUGAGACGCGAAAGCGUGGGGAGCGAACAGG